rnacentral:rRNA from 1 species
GUGGAGUUGAACUGUGAUCUCUGUGAAUUUAGCUGGUGAGCAUGGUUUGGGCUUGGUCAAAUUGGUUGAAGCCGGGAAUCUGCGUAGCAGCAGGUCCUCACCUUCUGGUGGGGAUGCGCGAUGCACUUAUCAAGUGUUGCGCGUUCCAUGUUUUUCGUGCCAGCUUGCCAGUGCACUUUUGCAGAGUGGUCACCACGACCGGCAUUGCUGUCUGGCUGUUGUGGUUAAACCGGCCUUCCUUUGUCCUUGUGGCUUUGGAUUGUCGGGAUGGCAGGUAACUCGCUUGCUUGGCUUGUGGUUCGCUGCAGGUUUUGGCUCUCGGGUGUAAUCGGCUGACCGCAUCGGUUCUGUGCAGUAUGUCGGAGAUGGCGGCUUGUGGUACAUGCGUGCGUGCCAGUUGGCUGGCGUGUCCGUGUUUGGUUGUCAUGUUGCUUGUGUAAACAGGCCUGGCGAUAGCUCGGAUUCGUUUGGCUGGCGGUUGUGUGCGUAGUGCUUUCCAGGGCCAACAGUCUGUGGUGUUGCGGUAGACGAUCCACCUGACCCGUCUUGAAACACGGACCAAGG